rnacentral:rRNA from 1 species
UACGUAUGGGGCAAGCGUUGUUCGGAAUUAUUGGGCGUAAAGGGCGCGUAGGCGGCUAUUCAAGUGGCGGGUGAAAUCCCUCGGCUUAACCGAGGAACUGCCUGCCAGACUGGAUGGCUUGAGACCGGGAGAGGUGAGUGGAAUUCCCAGUGUAGCGGUGAAAUGCGUAGAUAUUGGGAGGAACACCAGUGGCGAAGGCGGCUCACUGGACCGGUACUGACGCUGAGGCGCGAAAGCGUGGGGAGCAAACAGG